rnacentral:rRNA from 1 species
AUUGAACGCUGGCGGCAGGCCUAACACAUGCAAGUCGAGCGGAUGAAGGGAGCUUGCUCCUGGAUUCAGCGGCGGACGGGUGAGUAAUGCCUAGGAAUCUGCCUGGUAGUGGGGGAUAACGUCCGGAAACGGGCGCUAAUACCGCAUACGUCCUGAGGGAGAAAGUGGGGGAUUUUCGGACCUCACGCUAUCAGAUGAGCCUAGGUCGGAUUAGCUAGUUGGUGGGGUAAAGGCCUACCAAGGCGACGAUCCGUAACUGGUCUGAGGGGAUGAUCAGUCACACUGGAACUGAGACACGGUCCAGACUCCUACGGGAGGCAGCAGUGGGGAAUAUUGGACAAUGGGCGAAAGCCUGAUCCAGCCAUGCCGCGUGUGUGAAGAAGGUCUUCGGAUUGUAAAGCACUUUAAGUUGGGAGGAAGGGCAGUAAGUUAAUACCUUGCUGUUUUGACGUUACCAACAGAAUAAGCACCGGCUAACUUCGUG